rnacentral:rRNA from 1 species
CAGAGGGUGCGAGCGUUGUUCGGAAUUACUGGGCGUAAAGCGCGCGCAGGCGGCUUUUAAGUCUGACGGUGAAAUGCCGGGGCUCAACCCCGUGCCGGCCGCGGAUACUGGGAAGCUGGAGACGAGUAGAGGCAAGCGGAAUUCCGGGUGUAGCGGUGGAAUGCGUAGAGAUCCGGAAGAACACCGGAGGCGAAGGCGGCUUGCUGGGCUCGGUCUGACGCUGAGGCGCGAAAGCGUGGGGAGCGAACAGGAUUAGAUACCCUGGUAGUCCACGCCGUAAACGAUGGGCACUAGACGCUGGUGGGAUCGACCCCUUCGGUGUCGCAGCUAACGCGAUAAGUGCCCCGCCUGGGGAGUACGGCCGCAAGGCUG